rnacentral:tRNA from 1 species
GCCUGGGUGGCUCAGUCGGUUGAGCGUCCAACUUCAGCUCAGGUCAUGAUCUCACGGUUCGUGGGUUCGAUCCCCGCAUCGGGCU